rnacentral:rRNA from 1 species
GAUGAACGCUGGCGGCGUGCCUAACACAUGCAAGUCGAGCGAUCUUCUUCGGAAGAGAGCGGCGGACGGGUGAGUAACGCGUGGGUAACCUGCCUUAUACACAUGGAUGACAUACCGAAAGGUAUGCUAAUACAAGAUGAUAUAAGAGAUUCGCAUGGUUUUCUUUUAAAAGGCGGCUUCGGCUGUCACUUCAGGAUGGGCCCGCGGCGCAUUAGCUAGUUGGUGAGGUAACGGCUCACCAAGGCAACGAUACGUAGCACACCUGAGAAGGUGAUCGACCACACUGGGACUGAGUCACGGCCCAGAUUCCUACGGGAGGCAGCAGUAGGGAAUAUUCCGCAAUGGACGAAAGUCUGACGGAGCAACGCCGCGUGAGUGAAGAAGGUUUUCGGAUCGUAAAACUCUGUUGUUAGGGAAGAACAAGUAUCGGAGUAACUGCCGGUACCUUGACGGUACCUGACCAGAAAGCCACGGCUAACUACGUGCCAGCAGCCGCCGUAACAC